rnacentral:rRNA from 1 species
UGAACGCUGGCGGCAUGGCUAAAACAUGCAAGUCGAAGGAGAAGCGGGCUUCGGCCCGCUGAAAGUGGCGAAAGGGCGAGGAACGCGAUCGAACGUACCCCGAGGUGGGGGAUAGCGUCUGGAAACGGGCGGUAAUACCCCAUGUGCUCGCAAGAGGAAAGCUCCGGCGCCUCGGGAGCGGCGAUCGUCCUAUCAGGGUGUUGGUGAGGUAACGGCUCCCCAAGCCGAAGACGGGGAGCGGGUGUGAGAGCAUGACCCGCCGCAUCGGGACUGAGACACUGCCCGGACUCCUACGGGAGGCUGCAGCGACGAAUCUUCCGCAAUGGGCGCAAGCCUGACGGAGCAAUGCCGCGUGCAGGAUGAAGCAGCUUCGCUGUGUAAACUGCUGUCAGGUUCUAGAAUCAAUUGAUCAGAACCAGAGGAAGGGCCGGCUAAACUCGUGCCAGCAGCCGCGGUAAUACGAGUGGCCCGAGCGUUAAUCGGAAUCACUGGGCUUAAAGGGUGCGCAGGCCGAUCGGAAGGCAUCUCGUGAAAGCCCCCGGCUCAACCGGGGAACUGCGGGGUGAACCGCCGAUCUUGAGACAGGUAGGGGUCAGUGGAACGAUCGGUGGAGCGGUGAAAUGCGUUGAUAUCGAUCGGAACGCCGAAGGUGAAGACAAGCAGCUGGGCCUGUCCUGACGCUCAGGCACGAAAGCGUGGGGAUCAAACAGGAUUAGAUACCCUGGUAGUCCACGCCGUAAACGAUGUGCACUAGAUCGCAGCGGAUCUGACUCCGUGUCGGGCGCUGAGAAAUCAUUAAGUGCACCGCCUGGGGAGUACGGUCGCAAGGCUAAAACUCAAAGGAAUUGACGGGGGCUCACACAAGCGGUGGAGCAUGUUGCUUAAUUCGAAGCAACGCGAAGAACCUUACCAGGGUUUGACAUGCACGGAUUAACUUUGUGAAAGCAGAGCCACGCCCUUCGGGUGGAACGUGCACAGGUGCUGCAUGGCUGUCGUCAGCUCGUGCUGUGAAGUGUCGGGUUAAGUCCCUUAACGAGCGCAACCCUUAUCGCUAGUUGCCAGCGCGUAAUGGCGGGGACUCUAGCGAGACUGCCGGUGUCAAACCGGAGGAAGGUGGGGAUGACGUCAAGUCCUCAUGGCCUUUAUGCCCAGGGUGGCAAACGUGCUACAAUGGCGCGUACAGAGCGACGCGAUGCCGCGAGGCGGAGCAAAUCGCAAAAAGCGCGCCCCAGUUCGGAUUGCAGUCUGCAACUCGACUGCAUGAAGCCGGAAUCGCUAGUAAUCGCGGAUCAGCCACGCCGCGGUGAAUACGUUCCUGAGCCUUGUACACACCGCCCGUCAAGUCAUGGAAGCUGGGAGCGCCCGAAGUCGCCAUGUUUCAAUGGUGCCCACGGCGAGCUUGGUGACUGGGACUAAGUCG